AGUGAACGCUGGCGGUAGGCCUAACACAUGCAAGUCGAACGGCAGCACAGUAAGAGCUUGCUCUUAUGGGUGGCGAGUGGCGGACGGGUGAGGAAUACAUCGGAAUCUACUUUUUCGUGGGGGAUAACGUAGGGAAACUUACGCUAAUACCGCAUACGACCUACGGGUGAAAGCAGGGGAUCUUCGGACCUUGCGCGAUUGAAUGAGCCGAUGUCGGAUUAGCUAGUUGGCGGGGUAAAGGCCCACCAAGGCGACGAUCCGUAGCUGGUCUGAGAGGAUGAUCAGCCACACUGGAACUGAGACACGGUCCAGACUCCUACGGGAGGCAGCAGUGGGGAAUAUUGGACAAUGGGCGCAAGCCUGAUCCAGCCAUACCGCGUGGGUGAAGAAGGCCUUCGGGUUGUAAAGCCCUUUUGUUGGGAAAGAAAAGCAGCAGGUUAAUACCCCGCUGUUCUGACGGUACCCAAGGAAUAAGCACCGGCUAACUUCGU
rnacentral:rRNA from 1 species